CCUCAUUCUUGCUGACUGUUUCUUCCUUUCCCAAUCUUUGGAGAUUUUUAUUUUUUCACCUAUAUUGUUGAAAAAAAACUACUAAAGAUAAUCCAAGGAAUUCAGCUUUGGUAGCUGACAUGCGUUGUUUCUGCCAAUGCUGAAGAACAGCAUUAAUGGGCCACAGAUUAGAUGCAAUAGAAGUAAACCUCUUCUCUCUCAAGUGAGAGACCUCUGUGAAGGAGAGAAUGCACAGCUGCUUCAUCAUAUCUGGCUCUUGAAUGGCACCUUGGUCACCUAUGUGUUGCAACAAAAUCUGUUGCCAAAAGCUCUGAAAAAAACCAGCUAAGCUGCUGUGGGAGAAGAAUGGUUCUCAAGAACAGCUGAUUAAAGGGAAGGAGGGGGGAAAAAAGGAAUAAAUAGCUCUCACAUCAGAGGGGGGUCACCUGUGGAGUCCUGUGGAAUUCUCUGUUGUUCACUGAGUAGGUUUAACUCAAGAAUGAGGUGAUAGUUCACUGGUACUGCUAGAUCAUUGAGACAGUAAGAACAAAAGCUGACUAGAGAAUUGCAGGGAGAUCUAGGGACGUGAAGUGAAGGGCAGCUGCUUUCAUUCAGGAAAGGUCAUUGACUUGCAACAGUUACAUGAAAAGGGCAGUUGAGUGGUUAUUAAAGUCAAAGCUAGAGAAGGGAAUAGGAAACAAAAUGGAAAACCUCUGUGCAGCACUACAAAUCUGCAAUGUACAUGUAGCCUGGGUACCGCACACAGCUGGUGCUUUCUCUUCCAGGUGUGUGAAUAGACGGCUGGCCCAGGGCUAGAAAAAGUUUGCUAAAGAGAUCCCUUGACUUGGCAGCGUCUUUGGGAAUGAUGCAGAGGAGGAAUGUAGUUGGUUCUGGAGGAGCUGGAAGAGGAGCUGAGGCAAUUGCUGCCCAUAAGUGCCAGUCUGCUGGCAGUGAAAGGGACACCAGUCAAAGGGUCUUGGGAGCCUGUGCCUACUGCUCCAUGUCCCUCCUGGGUCGUGGAAUUGAUUGGAGUACAAGCUGGCUCUCCCAACCUCCUAACCUGCUCCUCACAGGCAAAGGUGCUGCCACAUUGUGUUUGGGUGCAUGUGAGGGUGGGGAAGACAAGCACAGGCAUGUAAGAUAUUGAUAUGGUGCCACUGAGAGGCAGCAUGGCUGGAUGUUUGAGCAGCCUUAAGGGGGAGUGCUGGCAGGGAGGCUGUGGGACAGAGAGAGACCUGAGGCACUCUGUGGGUGUAAGAGUGGUUGGGGUUUAUUCUGCUAGGCUCCUGUAUGGAAGGGGUGAUGAUUUAAGGUGGGCCUCACCCCUUGGAACAAAAAUGAAGACGUGUGGCAGGAGGGCCAUCCCCUGCAUUUGUUAGUUUGCACAGUCAUGUCAGCUGCAGUUUUGGUGGUGCCCCCCAGGGCCUUCUGCGGCAGCAGGGGAGACCUCACCCAUGUGGGGACAUUGCGGGGGUUAGCUAAGGCACCUCUCUUGGUAGCUGCAGGCAGGCUAGCUGCUGUAGUAACCCUAAAAAGCCUUGGCCUGGUCUAGCUGGAUUGUUUCUGUGUUACAGUUGAAAACAGAACAAGACUUGUCAAUCUCCUAAGGUAUGGCUAGUUAGGAAAAAAACGUGCUCAGCUUCAUGUGGAAAAGCCUGCACAGAGGGGUUUAUAGAUCUCGGUGCUGGAGUUCUUGGAUUUUGCUUCUAUGUGUAUGACUCUAGUUUGGUAACAGUCAUUCUCUGCAGGGUCUUCCCCUAGGGCAGGCAACUGCUUCUCUCUAACAGCAAAGGAAGAGCUGUGGAGGUGGUACCAAGUUUGUGAAGUACCUGCUGCUUCCCCAGCUCUUCCAGAAGGGUACUGAGCCCAGGGAAUCGGUCCUGUGUGCUGAGCUGGCUUCCAGGCUGGGUACACAGCUUAAAUUGUAACUGCUGGGGAAGAGAGAAUUUUUCUGGGAUCUGAGUGGAAGCCCUGGUGUUCCUAAAGAGCAGUCUUGGAACUGCCAGAUAUGCAGGCAUAUAGGUUCCUGCAGCUUAGCAAGGAAAAGGAGUUGUAGUUCUCAGCGUGUAUCUGUGGGGUCAACAGUCAGUCUUGGGGAACUGGCAACCUCUCUCUGGGCUGUUGUAUAAGGUGGUGGUCUGGCUUCAUUUGUGCUGUAUUCAAGGCACUGGGAGCUUCAUUUCCAGCCACGUUUCAAUGAGCACAACAAUUCUGAAGUACAAGGAGCCCUGACAUUAGCUUUUAAUGUCUCCAAUUAAUACACAUUUGUAUCUGCCAGGUCUCUAUAUUGAAAGGUUGAGCAUAAGGUUGAGCAAUUACAUACCUCAAUUUUUCUAUAAACACUCAAUUUUCAUUUUGUGGGAAACAGUGAAGGAACAUGGUGAAAUACUAAACAGUGCUGGUAGUGGUCAGGACGCUCCUGGCAUGUAAAAUUGUAUUCACAUCAGUGUAAACUGGGCCACUGUUCCCCUCCCAGUUCUUGCAGGCUUUCUUCUGUAUCUGCUGUUCCUUUUGGUGCCACUAAGAUUAUGUGAUCUUGUGCGGAUAACAGGCUGGCUGCUGCAGUGUUAUAUGCAGUAUCUUGUGCAGCCUCGCCUUGGUCUGACUAGGCUCUGUGUCUUUUCUCUAAUGCAGCCAUAAAGCGAAGGAGAUGAUUUUAAUACAUUUGCAUAGAUGUAGUUAAUCAGUGUGGUCCGUUUUGUCACACCACAGGGGGAUUGUCUCCUCUGGACUGUUUUAUCAUGUUUCAUUCCUUCAGAGACUGCAAACAUACUCUCGCUUAACCUUGUUCACCUUUGGUGAUAAGUGAGACAUCUCGUACAGAAUGUGAUUGAGCUCAGCUGAAACUCCCCUGACAGCUCUAGCAAUUCCUCAGCAGGAGACAGAGGGGAGAAGAGAGCAAUUAUCAGCCAGAACGACUCUGAAUGCCGAACAGAUGUGAACACUGGGAAAACAGCAUGACUGUCUUUCAUGGCAAAUUUACUGCUGCGAUGGGGAAGUCCCAUCAAGGCUUUUUGAAAGGCGCACUGUUAACCGUUCCUGCUGGUAUGUGCCAUGGCAGGCAGCUAGUAGCAUGAACGCAGCUUCUCUUCCCUUUUCUGCAGCACUCUGCUCAACAAUUAAUAUAACGCACCCUUCGAAUCCCCAUGCCAAACAGCAUCUGUUGUUGUCACCUCUUCUCUGCAGAAAAUGGGAAGACAGCAGAAGAAAAUGGGGCAGAAAAUAUUCCGUUGAAAGGGAAAGGGGCACCAGCCGUCCUGCACUUUCACUAAGGCUUUGGAGGACAGAAGUAGAGCAGAAAGUUAGGGGUCAGUGCCCUUAUUGAGCUGAAUAAGGAACAAGAGAGAUUUAGCAUUUCUUCAAAAUAAUGUCUAAUUUUAAAUAUCCGCCGUUGGAAAAUGCUGCUGGAUAAUUGGAAGGAGAAUGUGCCCGCCUUGCUCGCAAAUGCAGUCUGCCUGGCCAUCUGCUCUGACAGCAACAAAUCCUGGAUUGAUUUGCCAACAUGAUUAAUUCAGCUAGGAUGACUGGAUCAAGGGAUCAGCUAGAGACAAUAUUUAUACCCUACCUCCAACUGUGAAUGUGCAAUUGUUUGGUUCAGAAAUACAAAACAAAUUGUAUAGCUGUAUUACUGGAAGAAUGGAAAAAUAGAUGCAUCCACUCAACAGCCCUUUUUUCCUUAGAUGGCCCCAUUCCAAGGCCUCUAAGUACAGUCUAACAUAAGCCCACUUUCUCUGUGUGUGAGGUUAAGCAGAGCUGUUUUCAUUUUACAGACAGCUUCUGCAUCUUUAUUCCCUAGGCCGAUGCUGCUAUUGCUCUCCUUGCUGCAGUUUAGUCCUAAGAUCUCAGAGCGACUGGCUCAGUGACCUCGUCCAUGUGGCCCAGAGAGGCAGACGUGGAGUGUGAGCCAGCCAGCCCACCCUGCGCCCUGUGCCUGAGGUUACUGGUGGGAGAACACCACGGUACUCAUCUAGAGCCAGUGCAGGGCAGCGCUUAAAUCUUAAGAACAGCCAGGGGGGUGGAUUUCUAGCACUGGUAGAGCCUUGAGCUGAUUUGAUAAUACGGAUGUAGCUGGAGAGAUCAAAAGCAAGAUUUGUCAAGGAAUUUAGAUGUAGAUGAAGGGUUUUGAAAUCCUGUUUAGUGUGAUUUAAGUGUGCAAAUAUACAUUGGGCCUAAAGGUGCUGUACCCAAGGCCACGUGGGAUGUCUGUGGGAGAACAGGGGGACCAGUGUUUCCUGCAUCCCUUGCUGACUCUUCUCCUUCCCAAAUUUUCAAGCGUGCUGGGGACUUCAAGAGCUGCUUGCGGGAAGCAUGAGGUUGUGAUAACCGGGCUGUGUCUUCUGGCUGUUGACAAGACACCGAGCCCUGAACAGCUUAUUUUUCUCUAUACAAAGCAGAAGUUGCUUGUAUCUUCCCUCCUUUUGGGCAGAAACAAUAAUGAUGUUAAUCUGGCAGGGGACUGAAUGCCUCAUUUGUCCCAGUGAGCAGCUGCCCUGACUCCACCUUGAUGCAAUCUUCCCACCAUAUCCAGCAGUGACGGGGUUUCUGCUAAAACGAUUAGCAGUGAAAUAAUUAACAAGGGAGACUUUUUUUAGGCGUUGUCAUUUGGUACCAGACAUAACGCCAUUUUAAAAUGCUACCACUAUGGUUUCAGAUUCUGUUUAUUCAGGCUGAUGUUGCUGCACUGGUUUAUAUUUGGAUCAGAAUUUAAAGUUAUUCUUUGAAGAGCCAGGCUCUAAGGGUGACAUUUUCGGAGUCAUCACUGCUACAGUUAGGCUAACGCAGAAUGUUUUGGAAAAUCCCCCUCUUACUUUGUUAACGAGCAGCCGAAUCCCAAAAUGCAUUAUAAAAUAGUUCUUGAAAAAACAAUUACUGGUCCCUUUGCCUGAUCACACACUGGUAUUAUGCCACGGGCUCAGAAUUGUACAGAUAGCCAUUAACAGGAGCUCUACGCAGCAAGAGAAAAACAAACCCUGUUAUUAAAGGACAGGCUGAGUAUUCAGUAUUUAGCCUAUUAAAAGAAAACUGUUGCCAUCUGACAGUAAAUGUUGGAGGGAUUGAGGCCACGAGUGGAUUCCAUAAUGAGAUGUGGUGAGACACCUGGCAGCGUCUGUGUUUUGAAAUUGGGUUUUAAAUGUGAUUGUUGUUUCUCUUGAGACUUACUUUCAUGUGCAAAGGAAUUUAUAACGUUAAUUUGUUUAUGCGGUCACACACAUAAUGGUAGAGUCUAAACAGGGAUUCUGAAGAUGAGUUAAUUAGCGCAACAGGAAAGGAUAUUUGCUGGUUCGGAAAGGAAGUUGGUGCACUCGCAAGUCCAGGGAUCUUUUCAUCCAGCUGAUCAAAGACUGAGCAGUGAACCAACAUCCUGCAUUCUGAUGUCUGUUAGCACAUAAAUGAGUUCUCUGCCAAAGCACUAUUGUCAUGACCUGCCAGCGUCUUCUUUCUUCAGCUUAAUCUUCCUUAUGAACAGAUUGUAACACACUGAAUUAUGACCGAUUAUAUGACUGUUUUCUGAUAAGGACAAAUACUUGAGACGGAUUUAAGAUAAAGUGAACAGACACCGAUGUUUUCCCUUGAGAUUCCAAUCAGGAUUAAACUCAAUGAGCCCAGGCUAAAAGGAAAGUGCAUUAAAAGCUGUAGGCUGUUUCCAGAUAUCCACUGUGUCUUCCUUACAUUCUUUACAAAGUUUAAUCGGAGAAAAUUCUGAGAAGAUACUCAGUUGUUGUUUGAUUUGAGAUCCCAAAUAAAUGAAUGAAAUGAGAAUUGAUUAGACCCUUUUCUACAGAAUUUGCUUUUAAUUUCCUUUUGUGUUACCUUAAAAAGACAAUCUAUAAUACAAGAAAUCCUUCAAUGAACAAAUCUUUGUUGUACAAGAUUACAGCUGCCUUCCACUUUUCCUGACAAGAUAAUUGCAGUUGAAUGGAAUAGAAGCAUCAGAGGUAAUAAAACAUUGCAUUCCUUGAAGCAGAACCAGUAUUAAUUGCAAAUGCAAGUACAUGGCUGACACACCUUUUUAUUAUUUUAUGAACAGCGGCUUGGCAUAAUCCUGUGUAGAGUCCUUAGUGCAUAUUUAUGUGUCUUGAAGUACAAAUUCCUGUGUUAUAGGUGAGCCUGGUGGCUUGUGGUGGGUCUUGGGGGAGCCAGACCUCUCUCCUGAACAAUAUUAAUAGCCUUAGUGCCAAAGCAUCUGUAAUUCUGCAGGGCUUUGUCUCGCCAGGGAGGCGUAAGAGUUAAAGCAGCAAUGGUCACUACAUCUGGGUGCCUUUUUAAGUAAAAUCUACCUCGAAUGGAUCAAACUGCUGGUUUCCAUAUUGCGGUCGAAAACCAGCAUUCCCCAGUCCCAAGGUUUAACAGCAUCUCUGCACACAUCCUCUGUUUCUUUACCUCCCACAGCUCUUCUGAUGCAGAUGACCCUCCUGGAUAGCUUAGGAACAGCCUGAAACUGGGAGUUUGAACACUGAACGUCAGGUCUUCCAGCAAAGUCCAGUCAAAUGGCCUCGGGAGUAAGUGUACCUGUGCAGCUUGAGGCUACUCGAAGUAAGAAAUCAACAGUGUGCUAAUAGAUAAGGCCUAAUGAAGCAUCAAGUUAUAUGUAGGAAAGUAAGUUAUUGCAGAGGAAGACUCUGGUCCCCUGUUGUUUCUCGCUCACUCCUCAGGAGCCAGGGAUGAGGAGUGGUCGGGAGGGGGCCGCGAUGCACUGCCAGGGGCUCAACAGCCGCAUCCGCGUGAACUGGCAGUACCGGCCGCUGGCACAAAUGACCCCCCCCAUUACCCGAGGUCCUCUCCUUCCGCAAAACAGGAACACGGUGGUUGCUCUCUUCCUAACCCGUCCUGUCACCCCGAGAUGGAAGGAAACCACAACGGGCUCAAGCCCUCGCCGAUGUUCUGAUUGCCCGGUGGUCAUCUUGUCUGGCCCCUUUGGAAGGGGGUGGGAAGGCUCCCGGGGCAGAGCAGCGGCUGGCUCCGGGCAGCUGCCCAGGCUGUAGUGCCCACCCCGCGCUCGCCCGUUCGUUCGUUUUCUUACCAUUUUAAAAUUAAUUUUGACUAAGGUUAAUUUUAAAUCUGUUUUCUGGGUUUCCCAUUGAAGUUUUAUUGGUCAUAAUGACACCGCAGCAGCUUUAUGGGAGUAGUUUGUGGGCGAGAUGCAUGAUUUUAUACUGAAAUACUAACUUUAUGUUUGCAUUUCCUAAAGACGGCUCAUUUGCUACAGUUUUCCCUCAUAUUUUGGUGAAGGAAAUAAAGCUUCUGCUUAUCUCU